GGCUUAAAAGACUUUUUAGUAUAUUAUUCUAGUAUAUUAUGAGUUAUAGUGUUUUGUAUAUAUUAUUGUUUUUACUAUUAUUCUAGUAUUAUUUUUUAGUAUUAUUUUUUUAGUAUAUUAUUCUAGUAUAUUACUUUGCUUAAGACUUUUUAGUAUAUUAUUUUAGUAUAUUAUGAAUUGUAGUGUUUCGAAUUGUUAUGAAAUAUAUUGUGCUAGUAUAUUAUUCUAGUGUAUUUCUUAUAUAGUUUGGAGACUUUUUAGUUUGGAGCACUCUAGCACUUAUAUUAUUCUAGAACUGUUACACCGUAGCUGGCUACACAAUAAUUAUUUUGUAGCCGUUCCAAAACUCACGAACCCGACAGUCUCCGGCGUAGCGUGGCCACCCAAGCCCGUGCGUGGCUGGCCACGGUGGUCCCCUCGGUGCAUGCAUUGAUUCACACUCUGCCCCGUCCAUUCAUCCUGCAUUCAUGCAUUGAUUCAAUCCCCUGAUAUUUUUCCUUUCUUCUACCGGCCUCAAGAUCACCUGCACGAAACGCCUGGAUCUCGGCGAUGCCCUUCACCCGCCACCGGCCACGACGACCUCUUCUCGCCAGUAGUUGUACGUCCUCCCCACCAACGGCGGCAACGGAAUGUCGGGAGGAAUACUUCUUCGUCGAUCGAUUCCCAUUGCCGGCCGCUGAGACCACCGGUUACAGCCAGCUGCAGGCGGCUCGCUGCUGCGUCGUACUGGCCACGUCCGGCGGAGACAUGAUGGUACCAGGACGACGGCGUCCCCUGCUGGCCUCGUGCAACGAGGCGCUGGCGUAUGUGCUGUUGGCCGCCGUCGCCGCCGCGAUACAGGCCUCCGUCGUUGCCUAGCGUGGCUGGCCCGAGCUGCUAUGGAUGGGACCUGCACCCUCAUGACCGAGCUCGCCGCCGCUCUGCUUGCCUUCCUUUCCGCCUACAACUUCAAGCUCUUCAGACUAUAAGGAAGCAAGAGCUAUUCUUUACUCACCAUGGAUUAGUGCUCCAACCUAUUUGAAUUAUUAUGAUUUAAUUUAUGGUAAUUUUUUUAUUUGUUACGGUAACUGGUUGGUCGUAUCACGAUGAUAUCAAAAUGUGGUAACUUCCAGUGCUAACUAUGGUAACUGUAUAUACAGAUUGUCGUAAGUAUUCUCGUAACACAUGAACAAUUACAUUAGUUUAACUUGUAUACUACUCUUGUGUUGCCCAUAUAGCAUGU
rnacentral:lncRNA from 1 species